rnacentral:rRNA from 1 species
UACAGAGGUGGCAAGCGUUGUUCGGAGUUACUGGGCGUAAAGGGCGCGUAGGCGGCGAUCCAAGUUAGGCGUGAAAGCCCCGGGCUUAACCUGGGAAUUGCGCUUAAGACUGGACUGCUUGAGUGCGGGAGAGGUGAGUGGAAUUCCCAGUGUAGAGGUGAAAUGCGUAGAUAUCGGGAGGAACACCAGUGGCGAAGGCGACUACCUGGCCUGUUUCUUGACGCUGAGGCGCGAAAGCUAGGGGAGCAAACGGG